rnacentral:piRNA from 1 species
CUGGAAGUAUCUGUUACUAAAGGGGAUGG